GGCUUCGGCCUGGGGCAGAGCCGCGAACGGGUGAGUAACACGUGGGUAACCUGCCUCGAUGACUGGGACAACCCGGGGAAACCCGGGCUAAUACCGGAUGUGCUCCUUCACAUCAGUGAAGACAGGAAAGGAAGCUUCGGCCUCCGCAUCGAGAUGGGCCCGCGGCCCAUUAGCUUGUUGGUGAGGUAACGGCUCACCAAGGCUGCGAUGGGUAGCUGGUCUGAGAGGACGAUCAGCCACACUGGGACUGAGACACGGCCCAGACUCCUACGGGAGGCAGCAGUGGGGAAUCUUGCGCAAUGCGCGAAAGCGUGACGCAGCAACGCCGCGUGGGGGAAGACGGCCCUCGGGUUGUAAACCCCUUUCAGGAGGGACGAAGGCAGAGCGGUUAAUAGCCGACUCGGUUGACGGUACCUCCACAAGAAGCCCCGGCUAACUACGUGCCAGCAGCCGCGGUAAUACGUAGGGGGCAAGCGUUGUCCGGAAUCAUUGGGCGUAAAGAGCGUGUAGGCGGUCCGAUUAGUCGGCUGUGAAAGUCCAGGGCUCAACCCUGGGAUGCCGGUCGAUACUGUCGGACUAGAGUCCGGAAGAGGCAAGUGGAAUUCCCGGUGUAGCGGUGAAAUGCGCAGAUAUCGGGAGGAACACCAAUGGCGAAGGCAGCUUGCUGGGACGGUACUGACGCUGAGACGCGAAAGCGUGGGAGCAAACAGGAUUAGAUACCCUGGUAGUCCACGCCGUAAACGAUGGGCACUAGGUGUGGGAGGUGCCGACUCCUCCCGUGCCGGAGCUAACGCAUUAAGUGC
rnacentral:rRNA from 1 species